GCGGAAGACAUUAUCGUAGGGCUUCGGCCCUGUCGAGAUAGAACCCUUGCCUUUUUGAGUACCUUUCGUUUCCUCGGCAGGCUCGCCUGCCAAUGGGGACCACAAAAAACACUUUGCAGUACCUGUAAUAGUCUGAACAAACAAACAAAAAUUAAAACUUUCAACAACGGAUCUCUUGGUUCUGGCAUCGAUGAAGAACGCAGCGAAAUGCGAUAAGUAGUGUGAAUUGCAGAAUUCAGUGAAUCAUCGAAUCUUUGAACGCACAUUGCGCCCUUUGGUAUUCCUUAGGGCAUGCCUGUUCGAGCGUCAUUUAAACCUUCAAGCUAAGCUUGGUGUUGGGUGACUGUCCGCUUCACUGCGGGCUCGCCUCAAAAUUAUUGGCGGCCGGUACAUUGGCUUCGAGCGCAGCAGAAACGCGAACUCGGGCCCGUCGUAUUGGCUCCCAGAAGCUAUCUUCACAAUUUUGACCUCGGAUCAGGUAGGGAUACCCGCUGAACUUAAGCAUAUCAAA
rnacentral:rRNA from 1 species